UACGGAGGGUGCAAGCGUUAUCCGGAUUCACUGGGUUUAAAGGGUGCGUAGGCGGGUUGGUAAGUCCGUGGUGAAAUCUCCGAGCUUAACUCGGAAACUGCCGUGGAUACUAUCAAUCUUGAAUAUCGUGGAGGUAAGCGGAAUAUGUCAUGUAGCGGUGAAAUGCUUAGAUAUGACAUAGAACACCAAUUGCGAAGGCAGCUCACUACUCAAUCAUUGACUCUGAGGCACGAAAGCGUGGGGAUCAAACAGG
rnacentral:rRNA from 1 species